UGGGGAAUAUUGCACAAUGGAGGGAACUCUGAUGCAGCGACGCCGCGUGAACGAAGAAGGCUUUCGAGUCGUAAAGUUCUUUUAUAUGGGAAGAUAAUGACGGUACCAUAAGAAAAAGCCCCGGCUAACUACAUGCCAGCAGCCGCGGUAAUACGUAGGGGGCUAGCGUUGUCCGGAAUCACUGGGCGUAAAGGGUUCGCAGGCGGAAAUGCAAGUCAGGUGUAAAAGGCAGUAGCUUAACUACUGUAAGCAUUUGAAACUGCAUAUCUUGAGAAGAGUAGAGGUAAGUGGAAUUUGUAGUGUAGCGGUGAAAUGCGUAGAUAUUAAAAAGAAUACCGGUGGCGAAGGCGACUUACUAAGCUCAUUCUGAAGCUGAGGAACGAAAGCGUGGGUAGCAAACAGG
rnacentral:rRNA from 1 species